rnacentral:ncRNA from 1 species
UUGUAGGCCAAGAUUGGAAAUAGUAGAAAUGCAAGUGUACUUGUAGAGAGUCGGUGGUUGGUGUAAACCGAUAGGCACACAUUUUGAACUCGUCCAUGAGCCACUCCCUGAAUUUUGAGUAAGGGACGUCGGUUUCCUCCGUUAACGGGAUAGACAGUGACAGCUGUCGAUAAGGGGACUUUUUCUGUAAAGAGAAGGUCAAUUAGAGUGGUACCGCGAGCAUAACUCGUCUCUAUA